CCGAAGAGCACGAAACCCACGCUGAGUCCCACUGCCCCGGCCAAAUACACCGGUAUCAGCACCAGCAACCGCCUCCCGAACGAAGUCAGCACCGCCAGGGCCUCACCCGCCGCGCCAGGGCCAGCAGGAGAGGCGGGACCAAGAGCUCCCCCACGUGGGAUUGGAGUCCCUGUGGUAUGACGUCAUGGAGAGCCGCACCGCCAAUUUCUUGGUUUUGGAGAAAGCCCAAGUUGCCAAGUUGAGGGGUUGUGGAGCGUCAGGAUUUCCCUCUACUCAUUCGGACGGUUUGGCAGGAUUUGAGGUGAGCAGGUAGAAAAGGAAACAAGGAACUUGGAGGAAUUAUGAGUGAUCUGCUCACCAACUGAUAAAGCAGAACUACAGCAGGAACAUGGAUGAAACUCCUGAGAGAGAAACCUCUCUAUAAACUGAAAUUUGCCAAGCACUGGAGUAGGGGUAUUUUUUUCUUCCAAAACCAGUGCUGGAACCUGUGCUGUGCAGAAGAGAGGACAAGACGAGGGAUGUUCCCAAAUUCCCGUAAGAGGACACAGCCCUUCAGUCAGUCCUUCCUCUCUGCUGGCUUCAGUCUGCAUUCCUUUGCAAGCCCCCACUGUGAGGCUUGAAGAUGGACAAGAGGACCCUCAUAAAAGGGAGGUGACGGAACUUGCACUUGGCUCCUCUCUGACAGUCACCCUUGAGAAAGUCACGGCAGAUAGGGACCUCCUCCUUGCCAUUUGGUAGGUCUGCCGGUGAAAGGCCAAGGCCAGCUGCUACUUUCUGCCUCAGCCGUGGGGGAAGCUCUCCUGUCUUCUUAUAGCCAUCCUCAUCCUCCUUGGAGCCAUGGAUGAAACGGCAAUUUGGGCGGCUACACUCCUUGUUCUGGAAGUCAUGGCAGAAGAUGAACUCGUUUUUGCUCACCCCCAAGUUGGACACCUCACUCAUGUCUGGGUGGCGAUAUCGGCAACGCUUGCCUCGCUUGCACACAUUCCUCAAGAAGUCUCUACAGAUGGCAUCUGAGCUGGCCCCGCCACUGCCUGUCCCUGCCCCACUGGCCUCCUCGCUGCCACCACCUCCAGGGCCUCCACCGCUGCUCCCGGUACCGUUGGCAUAGCUGUCCCGGUCAGGCAUCCUGGUCCCGCCCAACUCAGGGUUUUCUUUAUCUUGCCACUCUUGGUGACCACUACAAAAGAGGAGAACUGUAUCAAACAGGAGUCCUCCAGGGAGAUCCCACUCUUCUUGACUAUAGAGCAGGUGGCCCAGAGGGGCAAUGGCUUUAGAGAUGGAGAAUCUAAGGGAUAAGAAUUCUGGCUGAAAUGUCUGACUCAUCAAAAGUCCCGCCCAGGCUUUUGUGCACCUGGUCUGGGUCAGAAUGAUUCACACUUGCCUGGCUAACAGAGGAGGGAAGGAGUUGGGGUGAAGCCACCUAAUUUCACUAAUGACGAUAGGCCCAGGAGGGAGCAGGGAAAAAAUAAGUGUUGGAUUUCAUCUUUCCUUCUGAGCUGACCUUAUUAAAGUUGUGGAAGUGAAAUUAAAA